rnacentral:rRNA from 1 species
AUGGGCACCGAGACGUUCGUCACCGACGUGGCCUUCGAGGACGACGUCAUCACCACCACCGUCACGUCCUCCGGCGACGCCGUCGUGGCCUGGCUCCGCAAGAUCCGGUACGCCUACCGCUGGGUGUACCACAAGCUCAUCGUGGGUCUGGACGUGGAGUGGCGCCCCAGCUUCGGCCCCGGGUACAACCGCGCCGCGCUCCUCCAGCUCUGCGUCGGCCGCCGCUGCCUCAUCUUCCAGCUCCUCCACGCCGACUACAUCCCGCGGUCCCUCGAGAGCUUCCUCGCCGACCCGGACUUCCGCUUCGUCGGCGUGGGCGUGCAGGACGACGCGGACCGCCUCCGCAACGACCACGACCUCGUGGUGAACAACACCGUCGACCUGCGCGGCCUCGCGGCCGACGGGAUGCGCAGGCCGUGGCUCCGGCAGGCCGGGCUCAAGGACAUCACGGGCGCCGUCAUGAGGGCCAACCUGGAGAAGCCACAGCGUGUGAGGACGGGGGCCUGGGACGCCUACCGCCUCUCCCAUGAGCAGAUCAAGUACGCCUGCAUCGACGCGUUCGUUUCCUUCGAGGUCGGCCGGAAGCUCCUCACCGGUGACUACUACUGCUCCUCUGAUGAUGAAGAGGAGGAGGAGGGGGUGGAAGAAGAAGAUGGCUCCUACUACUCCGAUGAGUAUGGCUCCUCUGAGGACUACUGA